GAUGACGGCCUUCGGGUUGUAAACCUCUUUCGCAGGGAAGAAGCGAGAGUGACGGUACCUGCAGAAGAAGCGCCGGCUAACUACGUGCCAGCAGCCGCGGUAAUACGUAGGGCGCAAGCGUUGUCCGGAAUUAUUGGGCGUAAAGAGCUCGUAGGCGGCUUGUCGCGUCGGUUGUGAAAGCCCGGGGCUUAACCCCGGGUCUGCAGUCGAUACGGGCAGGCUAGAGUUCGGUAGGGGAGAUCGGAAUUCCUGGUGUAGCGGUGAAAUGCGCAGAUAUCAGGAGGAACACCGGUGGCGAAGGCGGAUCUCUGGGCCGAUACUGACGCUGAGGAGCGAAAGCGUGGGGAGCGAACAGGAUUAGAUACCCUGGUAGUCC
rnacentral:rRNA from 1 species